rnacentral:rRNA from 1 species
UACGUAGGGUGCGAGCGUUUAAUCGGAAUUACUGGGCGUAAAGCGUGCGCAGGCGGUUUUGUAAGCCAGAUGUGAAAUCCCCGGGCUUAACCUGGGAAUGGCAUUUGGGACUGCAAGGCUUGAGUGCGGCAGAGGAGACUGGAAUUCCUGGUGUAGCAGUGAAAUGCGUAGAUAUCAGGAGGAACACCGAUGGCGAAGGCAGGUCUCUGGGCUGACACUGACGCUCAUGCACGAAAGCGUGGGGAGCAACAGG